GUUGAGCCGAUCAGAGCGGCAGAUUGCCCUAUCUGCUCUCCUAAUGAUAGAGUCCCCUACCACCACAACCUGUCUUGCCUUCCUUACAUCUUGAUCCCCACCCGUACUAGGGGGGCUGUUAGCUCGGCUGUUAGAAGUAACAGCUUCCUCUAAUACAGCUACUCCUGAGCUGAUGCUCCCAACAUCUUCCCUCAAACGGGCAAAUCUGCUAGGUUGCACCAAAUCAGGACUAGCUAGCCCUUUCCUCUUCCCUCCCC